rnacentral:rRNA from 1 species
CCCCUAGAUGUUCUGGGCCACACGCGCGCUACACUGAACAGUUCAACAAGUCUUAACCUUGGCCGAUAGGUCUGGGUAAUCUUUGAACGCUGUUCGUGAUUGGGAUAGACCUUUGCAAUUAUGGGUCUUCAACGAGGAAUUCCUAGUAAACGCAAGUCAUCAGCUUGCAUUGAUUACGUCCCUGCCCUUUGUACACACCGCCCGUCGCACCUACCGAUUGAAUGGUCCGGUGAAAUCUCGGGACGGCGGCUUGGUCGCUUGCGUCCGACUGCUGAAACUUGAUUAAACCAUAUCAUUUAGAGGAAGGUGAANUCGUANCA